rnacentral:rRNA from 1 species
GGAAUAUUGCACAAUGGAGGAAACUCUGAUGCAGCAACGCCGCGUGGAGGAUGACACAUUUCGGUGCGUAAACUCCUUUUAUAUGGGAAGAUAAUGACGGUACCAUAUGAAUAAGCACCGGCUAACUCCGUGCCAGCAGCCGCGGUAAUACGGAGGGUGCAAGCGUUACUCGGAAUCACUGGGCGUAAAGCGCGCGCAGGCGGCCUUUUAAGUUGGAUGUGAAAGCCUAUGGCUCAACCAUAGAACUGCAUCCAAAACUAUUGGGCUAGAGUGUGGGAGAGGAAGAUGGAAUUAGUUGUGUAGGGGUAAAAUCCGUAGAGAUAACUAGGAAUACCAAAAGCGAAGGCGAUCUUCUGGAACAUUACUGACGCUGAGGCGCGAAAGCGUGGGGAGCAAAC